ACACGGAUGGGUGUUCCUUUCUUCUCCUGGACAGACGAUGGCAUCCUAGCACUUCCUUAGCAUACAAAGCACCCGCAGCAUCUUCCCUUGUUUGAUUGAAUCAGACAUGCUGGAAGAGUCUGAGAUUCAGGGUUUUGCUUCCAGUCCUGGAUGAAACAGAUGAACGCCAUAAUCCCCGUAUUUCCUAAAAGGGAGACAUGAAAAUCUUGCGUUUAUACUAAAAAGUGUUCCCAUCUCAUUGAAAUUCAGGCUUGAACUAUCCACCCUGAACACGUCCAGAAGCCCUUCCUCAAAUUCUGGAAGCAGUGAUCUCGGGAGAGAAGUUUUCCAUCUGUCUCCUUAUGAUGCUAAGCUGUUAGUGCAGUUCAUUAUUUAUGACAUCUCCUGCUUUACGGAAGGAAACCACAGAGACUGCGCAACUUGAGAGAUGCCUCUAGGUAGCGUCAAUAAGCAGAUGGCCCUAAAGGCCCUUGUUAAUGCGGGUGGCACAGCUGGCGUCUCCCACAGCCAUUUCACAUGCGCCCCACUCUCCACACAUAGAGGCAGCCCAGCUUUGGCUGUCUCAGACACCUCUUCACAUGGAUCUGAUGGCAAGUGUGCAAAACAUAAAGACACCAUCCCGUGAGCCUGGCAGGCCCUCACAUCGGCCCAAGCUGACCGGAGCUCACACUAAAGGUCACAUCCUGCUGUAAGAGCCAGGCUCAGGAAGACUGUGGUGAAAGCGCAUUGUGGUUUAGUUAACAGUGAACGGAGUGGUUUGCAUUUCCUGUCAUCCAUAUUUCAUGUGCUACAGUUGAAAGCUGCAGAGCAGGACACCUGGAACCUCCCAGUCUUCAUGCUGACACUUGAUGCGUGACCUUGAGCAAGUCACUGGUCUCUCUAAGCCGCAGUUCCUUGUCUGUAAAAUGGAGCGAAUACAAGUGCAAUAAAUCACACAAAUUCUCCUCAUGCUCAGGAUCUUUUAAAGAGAGAAAAAAUAACACAAAAUUGUUUUUAAAUAGUUGAAAACGUGACACAGUGCAAACUAUCAUUAUCAUUAUGCUUUUAAUUGAAAUCUGAGUCAUUUUUUUAUUUCUUCUAAGCCAAAAAAAAAUCUGAACACUUUCCUGAAAAAUAAAUUGGAAAAUGUCCGUGGCUGGCUGAUAGGAAACCACUUCCAAUUCCAGACAUACCGAAAAUGGCAUCUCGGAAAAUCCAGCUCUGGUUUGGAUGCGAAGGGCAUUUAGAAUUUUAUAAACUUGAAAACAGCCAAGGCGUGUUUCAUCAAGUUGGAAACAAUAGUUUGCAUUUAGUCCAUAUGUGUCAAUCUUCAAGUUGCAACUUGCUAGUCAUACUGGUAGUGUCAUUAAUACCGUUGAGCGAUGAUAGCCAUUUGAAAGCUGGGUUAGAAUGGACAGGCUUAUGAAAUUUUAUAGAAGCCCUAAAUGACAAUCUAAUGCAUCCAAAGCCUCUAUAUCCCCGAUGUAAACCAGCACUUCACAGCUAUGGAAGACUCAUAAAAUUCCGAGCCUGGCAAUUUAUACUUAAUCUCUCUAAAAAGCACGUGUUCAGGGCAGGCCCCCACUCUGUGAGAUGGCAUUUGAGCACCAACACCUCUGCUAUAUAAAACACCUUAUCAGUAGUAAAUAUAUUAAUUUGACCCCAAGGGAGAGAAGGUGAGAGCAAAUCAGCCGCAGCAAGCCAUUUACAUUCUUUAUUUCUGCAGAUGAAUUCUCCAUCUAUUUUCAUCUUGUAAUCAGGCACUUGCCAAAUACACAAGAAUUUCAUUUUCUAUCUCCACAGCAUAUGUGUCUCCUUACUUUGAUAUGUCCUGUUUUUAGGAAGUAGAGAUGUUUUAAAAUUGUAUUUCAAACAGGAAAAAAAUCAGUCUCCAUAUAAUUAGUGAAUGUAACCAGAUUAUUUGCAAUCAACAUAUACUUAAUGCCUUAUUACCCUAAUGGAAGUUAUUGUAAGUGAUGAUAAAAUUGGCAGAAAUAAGUUAUGCUAAGUGAUGAUAAAAUUGGUAUUAUUAAGUGAUGAAAACCUUUUACCUUCCGCUGUUUUUUUUUUUUUUUUUUCCCCAUCUCUAAUCUACCCAAAUUCAUCUUUAAUGAGAGAACCUGGAGGAUGCAUUUAUGGUACUUAG
rnacentral:lncRNA from 1 species